UUUUUCAAUAAUUUUCAUUACAAGAACUUUCUAUACAAAUCCCUUUAAAAGUAUCAUCAGUUAUAACUUUCAAGUAAAAAAAAAAAUAAAAAUAAAAAUAAUAAUAAAAAAAAAAAAAAAAAAAAAACUCUUUCUCUGAAACUAACAGGGCUAAAGAAAGAGAAUCCAAGAACUAAAGAUUCAAUCUUUCCACUUGAUGCUCUGGUCAGUCGACGACGGGACGAACCCAGUGACGUCAUAUAACAUCCGGUAUGCUCCCCAAGAGGGGUUCGUGUCGGCAUCGUUAUUCUCAAAGGGAUGACCCAGCCCUUCUCUUUCUUUAGCCCUAGGUUUGGUCGCCGCCGUACCUUUUACCAUCUCACAUGACCUCAGCGAAUUAUCGGAUCAUUCUUGAGCACGUUUUUCCGUGGCUUACUUGAUGUAAGCAUAUUUGAUGUAAGUGGGCUGGUUUUUGGCCUCCACGUUCACCUGAUUUACGGAGCCUUGAUUUUAUUUGUGAGAAUCCCCCAAAGCUAUAAUUUAUCACGAUCCUCUGAAGUCUGAAAUGGAUGCUGUGGCAAGACACGUCUGCGCUGCUUGCUAUAAUCAAAGAAACUCCUGGUGUGUUCAACCAUGUCCGGCAAUCAAUGUUCCGUCGGUUUCAAGCAUGCUUUACGUCUGAUCGGGCAAACUUCAGGCAUCUCUUGUAACAUUAGAGCUGUAUUCCUCUCAUAUGCCAUUUGUACACAUGAUGUCCAAUAAUUUUUUUAAAUUAAUCACUGUCUAGUGUCCUUUCCGAUUUACCUUUGAUCCCACUUUUCCCUGAAGUUUUCUGUCAUGGGUUGCUAUGCAAUCCAUAUGAUGUGCCCUACCUGCUCUAAAAUGUAUCGCUUUAUUUUUAAGAUACCCUGUAUAUGCAUUCCGUUUGGUCAUGAUUCAAUCGAAUUAAUUUUCUCCUUCUUUAGGCAUCUUAAAAAAGAAAGAGCUAAAGUACCGCGUUUUCUGAAAUACAAAGUUUUUAUAACAUAUCCAGUAAUGACGUCCGUACGUAUGAUGAAACGUUUAUAUGAAGAAAAUAUCGUGUUAUAAUGUUCGAAAAUUUUGGAAGAAUUCGUGGAUCAUUAUACAUCUUUAUAAACACAAAUGUGAAGCCUUCAUUUAAUUUACAUAAGCGACACAUUUCUUAAUAAUAUGAAAUGCAGAAAAUAAUUGUUGUUUUAUGCAUAACUAAACUAUUUUGGUUCUGCUUGUGGUAAUUUACGCAGACAGGCGAACUGGCAUUAUAAUCUUUUGUUAUGAUUUCCCUAGUAUGUAUAGAUGAUCAUUGUCUAAAGGUUCAUAUUAUUUACAAGCAAGAAAUUAAAGAUUACAUUACUUAGGAAUUGACUCUGAAAUGCAAUAAUUGAACUUUUGAAAGUUUUAGAAAACCUACAUAUAUCGUUCUGCUUUCGUCUUUCGUAAUUCCGUUCUUAUGCAGUAAAAGCAUUUCAGGUUUUCCGAAAGUGAUGUUUACAUUUCCUGAUUUUUGUCACUUUGCAAGUUAUAUCAUAAUUUGUAACACUGGUGUCUUUAUAAAUUAAAUAAAACGGGUCAGUUCGUCUGGUUUAUCUUUUUUAAUUGCAAGUAUAAAAACGAAAUUACGACGAUAAAAAAGAAAUUAUAUAUGGAAAAAUGUGAAAAAUACCCUUACUUACAAAGCAAAACUCUUGAUCAUUUCGUAUAUUGGCUAUUUCUUCUUUUUGAUUUCCCACCUAAUUUGGGUAUCAAUAUUUGAAACAGGUGAUGUGAUAUUUGGAAAACACUACCACAAUACACCAGCAACGUACAAGUUAGAAUGACGCUGCUUCUAAUUCCUGUGGUUUUAAGGAUAAGCCAUCAAAGUGCUGGGCAGGAUCCUGUCAUCCUACUAAAGUACGCUGGGCUCCUGAUGUUGGUUGCGAAGGUGACAGAGAUGCUGUUUGGCUCUGAUGGUAACUUAUUACUUCUCCGAAUCCACUCGCAAGUCUUGGAGAUUGAUUGUGCCAAAACAUGUUUCAAAAUUUAUUUGUGUCUCCUUCUUUAUGACUACAAAAUCAGAAACACUACUGAGGAACAAUGUCUAUGAAAUGCGUGUCUUAGCUCUGAAUUUUCAUAAAUACAAGGCUGGUAAAUUAAUUCUCUCAAGGCUGAUUGCGUAAAAUUAAUAGAACGACCAUCCUAUACUAAGUAACUGGAAUUCGGUGAAGUGAUAAUGUAGACCUACUGAUUGCAGUAACUGAACAACGUUUCCACUUACCAUUGGUUACAAAUAAUAAACUUGAGUUUCAGGAAGUGGGAACACAUUAGUAUUACCUUUAAUGUUAUUAUCUAUGUAUAUUCGUGCAUAUUAAAAAAUACUGUGUUUUGUACUCAAAGAAAAGCCGGUUUUCACGACUAAUUCAUUUCUUUCUCAAACGCCUUUUGAUAUGACGGCAUUUUUUAUUAUAUCCAUAAUAAACACUCAAGAGAUUCUGAAUACUAUUUCAUUAAAGUUAUGAAAUCAACGUUUGGAAAUCCCGCUGUUUCCUGACAGAGGACUCCAAUGUACAGUUGCUUUCGCUUAUAAAAGGAACCAGAUGCGAAGAAGAAAUAUGUUAUUUACUGGUUUUACAUAGGAAGGAUUUUGGUAGCUCAACUAUUGAAAUAUCACAGAAUAUUAAACAUUUCCUUUAACCACAAUAUUUUCUUCGAUAUUGAUAUAAUGUAUGUCUGGACAGUAUAUAAUGAAUGUGAAUGUAUUUACAUCGUUUUAAAUAUGGAAUAUAAGUCAUGCGUCAUUCUAGAACUGAAAGAAAAAUUUGCACUAACCAACUAGUGAUUGUGCCAACAAAACUCACUGUUAUUUUAACUUUGGAUAAUAUAAGCGGUAUAUUUAGCUUAUUAUGUGAAAUUACUUACCAAGCAUUGUAAUGGAUGUUAAAGUAUUCACUUCACUUAUUUCUUUUGAUGUACAAACAAUCACGUAAUUAAAAGGCUCAAUGACUUCGCAUGUUUGAUCCUUUA